rnacentral:lncRNA from 1 species
UGCAGGGUCACCCUGGAAUGCCUGGCUUCUCGGGACCUCCUGGAAACCCAGGCCCGCCUGGACCAGAUGGCAAACCAGGACCUGCAGGACCCCCAGGAACGCCUGGGGAUAUAGGUAAAGAUGGCCCACCAGGUCCCCUGGGCCCACCAGGACUGCCUGGCCUUCAGGUAAGGGACAACUGCCUGCUAUUUUUCAUUCAAUAUGUUACACUUCCUGUAAG